AUGGGUCAGCGACUUAUAUUCUGUAGCAAGGUUAACCGAAUAGGGGAGCCGGAGGGAAACCGAGUCUUAACCGGGCGUUAAGUUGCAGGGUAUAGACCCGAAACCCGGUGAUCUAGCCAUGGGCAGGUUGAAGGUUGGGUAACACUAACUGGAGGACCGAACCGACUAAUGUUGAAAAAUUAGCGGAUGACCUGUGGCUGGGGGUGAAAGGCCAAUCAAACCGGGAGAUAGCUGGUUCUCCCCGAAAGCUAUUUAGGUAGCGCCUCGUGAAUUCAUCUCCGGGGGUAGAGCACUGUUUCGGCUAGGGGGCCAUCCCGGCUUACCAACCCGAUGCAAACUGCGAAUACCGGAGAAUGUUAUCACGGGAGACACACGGCGGGUGCUAACGUCCGUCGUGAAGAGGGAAACAACCCAGACCGCCAGCUAAGGUCCCAAAGUCAUGGUUAAGUGGGAAACGAUGUGGGAAGGCCCAGACAGCCAGGAUGUUGGCUUAGAAGCAGCCAUCAUUUAAAGAAAGCGUAAUAGCUCACUGGUCGAGUCGGCCUGCGCGGAAGAUGUAACGGGGCUAAACCAUGCACCGAAGCUGCGGCAGCGACACUGUGUGUUGUUGGGUAGGGGAGCGUUCUGUAAGCCUGUGAAGGUGUGUCGUGAGGCAUGCUGGAGGUAUCAGAAGUGCGAAUGCUGACAUAAGUAACGAUAAAGCGGGUGAAAAGCCCGCUCGCCGGAAGACCAAGGGUUCCUGUCCAACGUUAAUCGGGGCAGGGUGAGUCGACCCCUAAGGCGAGGCCGAAAGGCGUAGUCGAUGGGAAACGGGUUAAUAUUCCCGUACUUGGUGUUACUGCGAAGGGGGGACGGAGAAGGCUAUGUUGGCCGGGCGACGGUUGUCCCGGUUUAAGCGUGUAGGUGUGUGUUCCAGGUAAAUCCGGUUCACUUUAACACUGAGGCGUGACGACGAGGCACUACGGUGCUGAAGCAACAAAUGCCCUGCUUCCAGGAAAAGCCUCUAAGCAUCAGGUAACAUCAAAUCGUACCCCAAACCGACACAGGUGGUCAGGUAGAGAAUACCAAGGCGCUUGAGAGAACUCGGGUGAAGGAACUAGGCAAAAUGGUGCCGUAACUUCGGGAGAAGGCACGCUGACACGUAGGUGAAGUGAUUUACUCAUGGAGCUGAAGUCAGUCGAAGAUACCAGCUGGCUGCAACUGUUUAUUAAAAACACAGCACUGUGCAAACACGAAAGUGGACGUAUACGGUGUGACGCCUGCCCGGUGCCGGAAGGUUAAUUGAUGGGGUCAGCGCAAGCGAAGCUCCUGAUCGAAGCCCCGGUAAACGGCGGCCGUAACUAUAACGGUCCUAAGGUAGCGAAAUUCCUUGUCGGGUAAGUUCCGACCUGCACGAAUGGCGUAAUGAUGGCCAGGCUGUCUCCACCCGAGACUCAGUGAAAUUGAACUCGCUGUGAAGAUGCAGUGUACCCGCGGCAAGACGGAAAGACCCCGUGAACCUUUACUAUAGCUUGACACUGAACAUUGAGCCUUGAUGUGUAGGAUAGGUGGGAGGCUUUGAAGUGUGGACGCCAGUCUGCAUGGAGCCGACCUUGAAAUACCACCCUUUAAUGUUUGAUGUUCUAACGUGGACCCGUUACCCGGGUUGCGGACAGUGUCUGGUGGGUAGUUUGACUGGGGCGGUCUCCUCCUAAAGAGUAACGGAGGAGCACGAAGGUUGGCUAAUCCUGGUCGGACAUCAGGAGGUUAGUGCAAUGGCAUAAGCCAGCUUGACUGCGAGCGUGACGGCGCGAGCAGGUGCGAAAGCAGGUCAUAGUGAUCCGGUGGUUCUGAAUGGAAGGGCCAUCGCUCAACGGAUAAAAGGUACUCCGGGGAUAACAGGCUGAUACCGCCCAAGAGUUCAUAUCGACGGCGGUGUUUGGCACCUCGAUGUCGGCUCAUCACAUCCUGGGGCUGAAGUAGGUCCCAAGGGUAUGGCUGUUCGCCAUUUAAAGUGGUACGCGAGCUGGGUUUAGAACGUCGUGAGACAGUUCGGUCCCUAUCUGCCGUGGGCGCUGGAGAACUGAGGGGGGCUGCUCCUAGUACGAGAGGACCGGAGUGGACGCAUCACUGGUGUUCGGGUUGUCAUGCCAAUGGCACUGCCCGGUAGCUAAAUGCGGAAGAGAUAAGUGCUGAAAGCAUCUAAGCACGAAACUUGCCCCGA
rnacentral:rRNA from 2 species